rnacentral:lncRNA from 1 species
AGUCCCAGAUACUCUGAGUGAUGGCUACAAAGAGUCACAAAGAUGGUGAGUAAAUCCUGGCUUUCCACCCAGCAUUAACCAGGCCCAGCUUCCAGCUCCCGGCCCUUUGCAAGUGCCUGGCUAAUUCAGAAACUUGAAAGGCCCAACAUGGGGCUGAUACUUUUGUUCACCACUGACUGGCAGUCCUGAAAUGGUCAUAGCCCACCUGGACUGAGGAAAUUAGGGAGAUCUUUGUCCUGUACUAGAGGUUUUCAUUGCAUACAGGCUAGCGGGGAGGGAGAGAGGAAGGGAAAUGUCCCCAUAGUCAAUCACUAAACUGAACUGUUCUGUCUCAUUAGCUAGUUAAUAAGGCUCCAUUCCACUAGAAGUUCUAGUGUCUAUAUUCAGGAGCUGCUGGUCGUGUGAUCCCCCCAUUGAUUCUGAGUCAUUGUUCAACUACUUAAACAUACCAAAUUAAUGCUUUAAAAUUUUUAGGACGCUGGAUAUUGAACCCAAAGUCUUGUGCAUGGCUAGGCAGGUACUCCUCCAUCGAGAUCCCCUGGGUCCCUGGAUCCUACAUUGUCCUUUAUUAACUCUCAGUUGACAGGAGGGGGAAACUUUUGAUUCAUAGCGUCUUAAGAAUGAGUCCAAGAAGAUGGGGAUGGGAGCGUGAGGCACUGCACUGACUUACGUGCUUGAAAGAUGCUUUUGUUUUAAAGCAGGGUUGCAGUGAGGGUGGAGUGGUCCAGCAGGAAAUUACACAUAAAUUUUACUGAAGAUCAAAACCACCUUAGAACUGCAAGUGAUACAAUUAUGCAUCUGUUUUGACUUAUAGCUAAGGAAUCUCGACAGGCUCCUUGAUUUCCUAGUGGGUGGUGCUAUUCGAUAGAUCACUGUGGGAAUAUCUUUGAGGGUUACAAUCUAGCUCUACCUCCAGUCCUGCUUUCUGUUUCCCGAGUGGCUGAGAUAUGAAGAACGGAUUCCACCUCAGGAUCCUAUUAACAAGGAUAGAUCUGGGGAACAUUUCUGUAGCCACACCUUCCCCACCAUAACAGACCUAAACCCUCCAAAAUCAUGAGUCUGAAUAAAUCUUCCCAGUCUUAA